AGUACUGGCACUAGAAAGCAGUCAUGUGCUGCAAGGUCCCUAGGAAAUACAUGAUGGGAGGAAGAAGUAUAUAUGUUCAGAGCUAUGGACUGGCCCUGAGACUAGUCUUGGAUCAGUUCUGGGAAGGGGAGAAUAACUAUGAAACCCUCAUCUGACCACCUGCUUUCUUCUAUCUAGGGUGCUCAUCUUCUGCCACCAAGCAUGACAUUUGGAAAGAAUAUGUUUGAAGGCUACAAAUCUGCUGAAUCAGCAAAGGGGGAUCACUGAGGUGACCCUCACUAAAGCGGAUAACCCUGCCACUUACCAUUUGUUGUCUUUACAUCUGUCACUGCCAUGUGACAUUGAGGAGACUGGGAAAGAGCAAUGUUAUUAUAUGUCCCAAGACCAAGGUGUACAUGUGACCAUUCCCCUGAUGAUGGGCAUUUUGGUGAGUCGCGAUAUUUUUACUAAUAUGAACAGGGCUGUAGUGAGCAGACUUAUAAAAGUCCCUUUUCACACAUGUGUAAUUAUCUCUCUAGGAUACCUUGAAGAAGAAUCACUGAGUUUAAGAUUAUCUGCAUUUUACAUUUUAAUACAUACUAUCAAAAUGUCUAUUGGAAAGGCUGUACAAAUAUACUUUCACAGUAACAGUAUAGAAUACCAUAUCCUAUUUGUUGGCCACAUUCACAUUUAA
rnacentral:lncRNA from 1 species